GUACGUUUGCCAAUCCUCUUACGACUCACCUAAAGAAGACUUCUGGUAGCACACGGCUUUGGUCAUUGCUCCUUCUUAAUUGCAAAUUAACAUCCAUGCAGAGAAUUACCUUAAAGAAAUGUCAUUAAUCUUUAAUUUAAAUAUAAUAUUCUGACUGACUUGCAGAUGGAAGGAACAGAGGGCACUGAUUAACCCAAAAACAGUUAACACCUGCAGAUUAUGAGGAAUUGGCUUGUUCCUGGCUCACUAUCUGACUCAUGUUAAUAAGACUGAAUAUGCUGAGGGUUUUUUUUUAAUCUGAAAACUUAGAAUUGUCAUGGUGGAAGGAAGCUUGAUGAGAGAAGGUCCCGUCUUGUUGCCAGAAAAUUUGACCUUGAAGGGGCAUUGAUACAGCAGUUUCCUUCUUCUUGACAAUAGCAGAAGUAUGGAAAAGAGGGGAAUAAUGAAGGGAGUCUAAGAUAGGAACCCACUUUUCUGUGCCUUUAAGAUCUUCCCAUACAUAGAGCCUAUCUCCUAUAGCGACAUAUGAAUACUCCAUAGGAGGAAGACAAUUGUCUGCUGUUUGACUCAGUGUGGCCCCUCCAUUUGAUGUUACCUUCCUUUUGAUAUACUGACGAAUUAAGCAACUCACUUCCUCCACAGAGACCCAACAUAGUAGAUAUAUAGUUCUGUUUUUAAGAUGAGUGGGGUGAGAGCAAACUGGAAAUCAGAAAGAAAGAAGAGACGCAUGGAAGAUUGAUAAACCUGGGACAACAGCAUGAAAGUAAACAAGACAUUUUACAAAGAGCAUCUCCAAAGCCAGGGGGGAGGGCAGGGAGGGUGUCCUCCAGGCAGGAGAAAGAGACAGAAAGAGCUGCUCAGCAAACUCUGCAGUAUAGAUGCUGGCAAUUCUACCUACUGGAAAAUUCCUUUUAGAUAAACAACCUGAGAUCUGUACAGUGGCCUUGUUUUGGAAAAGGAUUUCUUACCUUCCCCCAGAGACAUCUAACCUGCCAGACCCAGGAGCCACCUAGGGGAAAGGGUUUCUGUAUGAAUUUGGACUCCUCUUGACGUCAGAAAGUCUUAUUUUCUCCUUUCUUGAAAUCCUAUAUUCAUCCAUUCUACCAGGGUAGGGAUAGCUGCCUUGUGAAUUCAGUUUAACCCAGCAGAGUGGCUGUGUCCUAAGCCUCCUGAAUAACCCACACAGCAAGUAAUGGGUAUUAAGGCAUAGGCAGGGAGUAGAUUGGUUCUUUCAUUAGGAGAUGUCCUGUAUCAUGUGUGGCUUCAUGCAAGUGCCAGGACUAAAGGCAGGCACUAAGUGGUGCUUGAAAAAUUCUGACAUAGCUGUCAAUUUGCCCAUAGGCAACCAAGGGUAGGAGUACCAAAGCACCAUUCAGGGAUGUCCCGCUCAUCCUCAUUCCUAGGUGGGCACUAGAGCUGAAAAAGAAAAACAACCACCACAGCCUCAGCUGUGCCAUCAUCAACACUGGCUAAGGUCCUGCUCCUGGGCAGACACCAUGACUUACACAGAAGCAAAGAGCACCAUGACUCCUGCUUCUGCCUUCAUGCACGCUCGUCACUUUGCUACCCACCCCUAUACCUUGUCAAGACUGGCAGGGAACAGCAGCAAGGAGGAUGUUUUGCAUUCUGCUGUCCCCCUCUCUCCAUGCAGCACCUGGGGUCACACGACUGGUCAGUGGAAAAAUGCUUUAGAAUCUCAUUACCAGAGAACCAGAAAUGUCCCAGAUCUUUGAUAGAAAAAACAUCGUCAAUACCAGAGGAAGCACCUAUUGCUAACCAGGCAAAAACUCAUAUACAUAAAAUAAUUUUUUAAACUUAAAAGAAAAUUGCAGUCAAUAGCCUCAACAACUGAUAGGUCAAACAGAUAAUGAUUAUAUAAACAGUAAGACAUGGUUUGUUUGCUUUUUCUUUUUUGCCCCAGUCAAACAAAAAUAAGAUAAAGCACAGAAGAUGGGGGAAGCUUCAGGUUACAGAAGAAAACUAAGUGGCUUUUAGGGCCCCGAAAUAAGUAUGACCAAAAUACAAUCUUACUGCAGAACAUUGUAAACAGGAUACCAAAAGUACAAAACAAUUUUUUAAGCUGCUAGAAAAAUGGCAAGAUGAUUAUCAUAGACUAACAGUAGAUUUCUAGACAAAAAUUCUAUUGUGUAAGAAGGAACACAGUAAGAUGGCCCAAGUUGGAAGACAAAAAAACCUGUACCUAGCAAGAUUAGCCUUUAAAAAUUAAAGAGAAAUGGAUACUCAGCAGAAGCAGGAAACAUGGAGGUAUUCAUGACUGCUAGGCUUCACAGAAGCCAAAAGAGGAUAAAAACAAAACCUAAGCCAGGUGUGCUGAUGCCUGCUGUAACCUCAGCAUUUCAGAGCUAUUGAAAGUUCCAGGACAGCCUGAACCACAAAUCAAGACUCUACAUGGAGACAGGCUAAGUAAGGAAAGACAAAGAACAUCACUAUAUAGUACUUUAGGGAGUAAUUCAAGAAGAAUAUAUAAAGAUUGUACAUCUACGUGCAACUAAUGUCAGAGGGCUCACUUUUAUAAGCCUGGCUCUGAAAUAAUGGCAAUAGAGACAUGAGUGAGGCUCAACUACAAUAGCAGUUAGAGAUGUAAAGUCAGGCUCUAAUACAGUAGUAGUAGAGAUAUCAACACCCUACUUCCAUCAAUGGAAUAAGAUCAUCCAGACC
rnacentral:lncRNA from 1 species